AUGAAAUGUAAGUGCGCUAAUAUCGUGCUUAUUUGACAAAGGCUCCAAAGGAAGCCACGACUAACUCUGUGCCAGCAGCCCCGGUAAUACAGAGGUGGCGAGCGUUGUUCGGAAUUAUUGGGCGUAAAGAGCACGUAGGUGGAUUUGUAAGUCAGAUGUGAAAGCCUUCUGUUCAACGGAAGAAUUGCAUCUGAAACUACAAACCUUGAGUAUAGGAGGGGAGAGUGGAAC
rnacentral:rRNA from 1 species